GUGGGGUAGAUAUAGGUAUAGAAUACAUUAUGGUCAUUUGGUCAUGCAGUGAAGAGUUACAUGUUGUAGAAACGAGUUACAUGUUGCAGAAACAUGUGUGGUUGUUAAUAAAGGAGAGAGAAAAAUAUAUAUUUAAAUAUAAAGAGAAAUUCAAAGAAAGAAAGAAAAAGCUGUUAGUGUUCAGAGAAAUUCAGAGGAGGAGAAGAGAAAGAAAGAAAAAGUUAACUCCGUUAGUGAAUAUUUAACGGCAGGGACUAAUUUGAAACAUUUCUUAUAACUUAGAGAGUAAAGGUUGAUAUUUUUAAAAAUGGAAACUAAACUAAACAGUAGCUUAUAACUUAGGAACCGAAAAAAAGUUUAAACCAUUUAUAUAUCAUCAAACGAUAAAAUAUUUUGGAUAAAGAAGGAAACGUUUAGUUAAAAUAUUUUCAUUAAUGUUAUUUUUUUUAGCGA
rnacentral:lncRNA from 1 species